ensembl:lncRNA
GCUGACGUUCAGAAACUCCGAGCUGCGGGCUUCCGUGUCCCUUCUGCUCCCGCUGUCUGAGCCUCGCUGUGUACCCGGCGCCUUGUCCUCUCUUCGUCUCCCUCUUCCGCAUUCGGGAUCCCAGAAACCGGGUUCUCACAGUGACCCGGACCACAGGGAAAUCGCCCAAUCAUCCAGUCGGGGUCACCGAGCCUGGAGGGUCCCCUUCCAGGGCCAGCCUCCCGGCACCCAGCAACCGUUGGCCCGGACACCCCCGCCAGGGAUCCAACGACCCAGCAAGUGCUCACCCGUCUCAGGGCGACCCUGGGCCUCGGGGUGAGAGGUCUCCUUCACUAAAAAGGCUGUCGCCCCUCAAUCCUAGACCCGGAGAUUCCUUUCACCCAGGAAAUCUCGUAAUGGCACCCAUUGUCAUUUUGAUUUUUAUGCCGAAUUUCUAGCUCCUACGUCUCCAUUGCGGGCCCUAAAAGUCGCUGUUUCACUAAGCUUUGGGACCUGACUCCGGGAAAUUUCAUUCUUUCGUCCCAAGAUCUCAGCCGGAAAGAGAAAUUCGCACGGCGGCCUCUUCAAGCACACGGCCUGGGAGCGCGGGUUCCGAUCCUCCUCCGCCCUAGCCGAACUCCCAACUCCCGCGGCACCACGGGGAAGAGGAGCCUGAGCAGCUCUGAGGGGCGAGUCCCUGACAGUGGGGCUCCCCCUCGUCCCGUCAGAACCCUGCCCCAAGGAGAAGACGCCUUAGGACGCUACCAGAGUUAAAAUGUUCUCUCCUGCUCUUCAGAGCACUUGGGAUGAGGUUCCUGAUGGGUCGGUCUUGGGAACUAAGAUGUCACUCCAGGCACUCAAGAACAUAGCUCUGAUUUUCAUAUUUUGCGGCUGAGAGCGCUUACGAAGGACUGAAAAACACCGCAGUCUUUGAGGACGAGUUUGGAGGACAAGCCGGGAGUGGGGGGUGAGACGACGCCUUCUUGGCUCCUUAGAGUGGACUGGCAGGUAAGGAAACACAAACUCUGUUUCCCCUUGCAGGCUGGACUGCAGGGCCUGGGAUGGAAAAUUGGACAGUCGAAGAGUAACAAUAUUUAUGUACAGGUUGGUUGCACACAUUAAAAAUUGUUAUCCCUAGAGAUAAGUGUAGGAAGGGACCUGGGCGCUGCUGUUCACCUCCAGCUUUGCAGCAUAUGUAACUUUGAUAACAGAGUAUAAUGCAUAAAAAAUUCAUUCCUGUUUACAAAGAAUUGAUCACAACCAGUUACAGGUUUCUUUGUUCCUUCUCCAUUUCCACUGCUUCAUUGACUAGCCUUAUAGGAAAAAAAAAAAAACUUGUAAAUAUGAUAUUAUUUCCGUUGAUCCUCAGCCCACUGGUUCCCCACCCCCUGAAAGUAGUUGGAACAACAGGUUUGCACCACGUGCUGGACUAAUUUUUGUAUUUUUAGUACAGAGGGGUUUCACCAUUUUGGCCAGGCGGGUCUGGAACUCCAGAACUCAAGUGAUCCUCCUGCCUGGGCCUCCCUGCACCUCCCUGCUGGGAUUACAGGCAUGAGCCACCCCACUUGGCCAUCAUUUGUAUUUUGAAUUUAAAUAUUUUGUAGUCAUCGCUCUUCAAUGACUGGGUUUUGUUGCAUGAGCAUGAUGGGGUUCAGGACAUGCUACUCCAAAAUAUAACAUCUUAGGGUAUUGAAUAUUUUAUGCUAAAGAAAUUUGAGUAAACAACAGAAGCAGGAAGGUCACUGUCACCUCCCCCUGCCCUUCGUCCCUGAAGUCAAUUGUAAGACCCUUAUGUGAGAGGUGCCCUCUCUGUACCCAGAGGAAAGGUGCAUUCUGGAGUCUGAAGACCCAGGGACACAGAGGAGCCUGAACACAGAGGCCUGGCUACAUUUUCCCCAGUUUGUUACUGUUAGAUCAUAGUUUUAUUGUCUUACCAUACUUCUCCGUGACCAUCCAUUCUUCAAUAAAACUACUGUUAAAAAACAAACAAACAAACAACAACAAAAAAAAACCCUGAGGUUUAGCUGUUUCCAUGGGCCUUCGUUUCCUUUGGAAGGCACUCCUGUCAUGUAAAACUUACAUUCAAUAAAUACAUAUGCUCUUC